UGCGAUAAAGGCAAACCCUGAGCAAUCCGGGGACGCAAAGUAAAGGGUCUUUUGUAGAGGCGCAUUGCAAUGCGUCUCUACACUAGUAAAAAAGACAGCCUUACUGCCGAAG
rnacentral:ncRNA from 1 species